UGUCCGGACAUAGUCAGGUAUCUGCCGAAUGCAAUGCUGUGGUCGAUACAGUUACAUGUCCGGUAGAAAGAUGUCAUUCAUCGUUACACAUGUUGCCUUAACAUGCUGUCAUGUGUUCCAUUUGGGUGCUACAACA
rnacentral:snoRNA from 1 species